CGGCGGACGGGUGAGUAAUGCCUAGGAAUCUGCCUGGUAGUGGGGGACAACGUUUCGAAAGGAACGCUAAUACCGUAUACGUCCUACGGGAGAAAGCAGGGACCUUCGGGCCUUGCGCUAUCAGAUGAGCCUAGGUCGGAUUAGCUAGUUGGUGAGGUAAUGGCCCACCAAGGCGACGAUCCGUAACUGGUCUGAGAGGAUGAUCAGUCACACUGGAACUGAGACACGGUCCAGACUCCUACGGGAGGCAGCAGCG
rnacentral:rRNA from 1 species